AGAGUUUGAUCAUGGCUCAGGACGAACGCUGGCGGCGUGCUUAACACAUGCAAGUCAAGGGGGCCCAGCAAUGGGCAACCGGCGAACGGGUGCGUAACACGUGAGCAACCUACCGAACUGUGGGGGAUAGCCGGCCUAACGGCCGAGUAAUACCGCAUACGCUCUCAGAGAGGCAUUUUUUUGAGAGGAAACCUACGGGACAGAUCGAGGGGCUCGCGGCCUAUCAGCUAGUUGGCGAGGUAACGGCUCACCAAGGCAACGACGGGUAGCUGGUCUGAGAGGAUGGCCAGCCACAUUGGGACUGAGAUACGGCCCAGACUCCUACGGGAGGCAGCAGUGGGGAAUCUUGCGCAAUGGCCUAACGGCUGACGCAGCGACGCCGCGUGUGGGAUGAAGCUCCUCGGAGUGUAAACCACUGUUGCCCGGGACGAAUAGCUCGAUUAAUCGAGCCUGACGGUACCGGGUGAGGAAGCACCGGCUAACUCCGUGCCAGCAGCCGCGGUAAUACGGGGGGUGCGAGCGUUGUCCGGAAUCACUGGGCGUAAAGGGCGCGUAGGUGGUUUGAUAAGGGUGUGGUGAAAGUCCGGGGCUCAACCCCGGAUCUGCCGUGCCGACUGUCAAACUCGAGGGCUGUAGAGGCAGGCGGAAUUCCGGGUGUAGCGGUGGAAUGCGUAGAGAUCCGGAGGAAGACCGGUGGCGAAGGCGGCCUGCCGGGCAGUUUCUGACACUGAUGCGCGACAGCGUGGGGAGCAAACAGGAUUAGAUACCCUAGUAGUCC
rnacentral:rRNA from 1 species